rnacentral:lncRNA from 1 species
GCCGAAAACUAGAUGGUGACUGUACCUACGGCCGGUCCCUGAGUUCCAUAAAUUUUUCUUCGGGAAUUGAAAUGCGCUUACGAUACCUACAAGGAGUAGAAUUUUUACCUCGUUUGGCGGUCGGAAAUUUUUCCGGUACGGCGACGGGUGGCGGCGGUCAGCUCCCCGGCAGCUGGGCUGUCUUCUCCGGCGAGGGGCUC